rnacentral:rRNA from 1 species
ACAACGCCCAAAAUUAAGGUGAACCGCGAAAAGGCUCAUUAAAUCAGUUAUGGUUCCUUAGAUCGUACCCACAUUUACUUGGAUAACUGUGGUAAUUCUAGAGCUAAUACAUGCAAACAGAGCUCCGCCCGGAGACGGAAGGAGUGCUUUUAUUAGAUCAAAACCAAUCGGUGGCGGGCUUGCUCGUCAUCGUACAUUUUGGUGACUCUGAAUAACUUUUUGCUGAUCGCACGGUCUCGCACCGGCGACGCAUCUUUCAAAUGUCUGCCUUAUCAACUGUCGAUGGUAGGUUCUGCGCCUACCAUGGUUGUAACGGGUAACGGGGAAUCAGGGUUCGAUUCCGGAGAGGGAGCCUGAGAAACGGCUACCACAUCCAAGGAAGGCAGCAGGCGCGCAAAUUACCCACUCCCGGCACGGGGAGGUAGUGACGAAAAAUAACGAUACGGGACUCAUCCGAGGCCCCGUAAUCGGAAUGAGUACACUCUAAACCCUUUAACGAGGAUCAAUUGGAGGGCAAGUCUGGUGCCAGCAGCCGCGGUAAUUCCAGCUCCAAUAGCGUAUAUUAAAGUUGUUGCGGUUAAAAAGCUCGUAGUCGAAUCUGUGUCCCGCGCCGUCGGUUCAUCGCUCGCGGUGUUCAACUGACGUGCCGCGGGACGUCCUGCCGGUGGGCUUAGCUCGUCCGCGGGCGGCCCAACUUCAAAUCCCACCGCGGUGCUCUUGACUGAGUGUCGAGGUGGGCCGGCACGUUUACUUUGAACAAAUUAGAGUGCUUAAAGCAGGCUAAAAUUUCGCCUGAAUACUGUGUGCAUGGAAUAAUGGAAUAGGACCUCGGUUCUAUUUUGUUGGUUUUCGGAACUCCGAGGUAAUGAUUAAUAGGAACGGAUGGGGGCAUUCGUAUUGCGACGUUAGAGGUGAAAUUCUUGGAUCGUCGCAAGACGGACAGAAGCGAAAGCAUUUGCCAAAAACGCUUUCAUUGAUCAAGAACGAAAGUUAGAGGUUCGAAGGCGAUCAGAUACCGCCCUAGUUCUAACCAUAAACGAUGCCAGCUAGCGAUCCGCCGACGUUCCUCCGAUGACUCGGCGGGCAGCUUCCGGGAAACCAAAGCUUUUGGGUUCCGGGGGAAGUAUGGUUGCAAAGCUGAAACUUAAAGGAAUUGACGGAAGGGCACCACCAGGAGUGGAGCCUGCGGCUUAAUUUGACUCAACACGGGAAACCUCACCAGGCCCGGACACCGGAAGGAUUGACAGAUUGAGAGCUCUUUCUUGAUUCGGUGGGUGGUGGUGCAUGGCCGUUCUUAGUUGGUGGAGCGAUUUGUCUGGUUAAUUCCGAUAACGAACGAGACUCUAGCCUGCUAACUAGGCGUAUUUUCGACAUCUCAAAGGCCCGCCGGCCCGGCGUCCGCGUCGUGGUCGUGCGCGGUUUUUACUGUCGGCGUACAAUCAAUUCUUCUUAGAGGGACAGGCGGCUUCUAGCCGCACGAGAUUGAGCAAUAACAGGUCUGUGAUGCCCUUAGAUGUUCUGGGCCGCACGCGCGCUACACUGAAGGAAUCAGCGUGUCUUCCCUGGCCGAGAGGCCCGGGUAACCCGCUGAACCUCCUUCGUGCUAGGGAUUGGGGCUUGCAAUUGUUCCCCAUGAACGAGGAAUUCCCAGUAAGCGCGAGUCAUAAGCUCGCGUUGAUUACGUCCCUGCCCUUUGUACACACCGCCCGUCGCUACUACCGAUUGAAUGAUUUAGUGAGGUCUUCGGACUGGUACGCGGUGGCGCUUACGCGUCGCCGAUGUUGCUGGGAAGAUGACCAAACUUGAUCAUUUAGAGGAAG